rnacentral:rRNA from 1 species
AACGAACGCUGGCGGCAGGCCUAAUACAUGCAAGUCGAACGCUCCAGCAAUGGAGAGUGGCAGACGGGUGAGUAACGCGUGGGAACCUUCCCAGUGGUACGGAAUAGCUCAGGGAAACUUGAGGUAAUACCGUAUACGCCCUUCGGGGGAAAGAUUUAUCGCCAUUGGAUGGGCCCGCGUCGGAUUAGCUAGUUGGUGGGGUAAUGGCCUACCAAGGCGACGAUCCGUAGCUGGUCUGAGAGGAUGAUCAGCCACACUGGGACUGAGACACGGCCCAGACACUUACGGGAGGGAGCAGGAAGGAGUAUUGGACAAUGGGCGAAAGCCUGAACCAGCCAUGCCGCGUGAGUGACGAAGGCAUUCGGGUUGUAAAGCUCUUUUGGCGGGGACGAUAAUGACGGUACCCGCAGAAUAAGCUCCGGCUAACUUCGUGCCAGCCGCCGCAGUAACAC